UGGCGAACCCGCCAAAUCCGCACACGUAUCGUCACCGCUUUCGGGGUGCCCGGGCCGAACAGGCCUCGGGUCGCAGGCGGGGAUACGUGGAGGUUCAAC
rnacentral:sRNA from 1 species